rnacentral:rRNA from 1 species
UACGGGGGGGGCAAGCGUUGUUCGGAAUUACUGGGCGUAAAGGGUUCGUAGGUGGCCAACUAAGUCAGACGUGAAAUCCCUCAGCUUAACUGGGGAACUGCGUCUGAUACUGGUUGGCUUGAGUGCAGGAGGGGAACGCGGAAUUCCAGGUGUAGCGGUGAAAUGCGUAGAUAUCUGGAGGAACACCGGUGGCGAAGGCGGGUCUCUGGGCCGUAACUGACGCUGAGGAGCGAAAGCAUGGGGAGCGAACAGG